GACAGAGGGGGCAAGCGUUGCUCGGAAUCACUGGGCGUAAAGGGCGCGUAGGCGGGAUGGCAAGUCGGUCGUGAAAUCCUUCGGCUCAACCGAGGAACGUCGAUCGAUACUGCUGUUCUUGAGGAUUGCAGAGGAGACUGGAAUUCCCGGUGUAGCGGUGAAAUGUGUAGAGAUCGGGAGGAACACCGGUGGCGAAGGCGGGUCUCUGGGCAAUUCCUGACGCUGAGGCGCGAAAGCGUGGGGAGCAAACGGG
rnacentral:rRNA from 1 species